rnacentral:rRNA from 1 species
UACAGAGGGUGCAAGCGUUGUUCGGAAUUACUGGGCGUAAAGGGCGUGUAGGCGGUUUAGCAAGUCAGAUGUGAAAUCCCGGGGCUUAACUCCGGAAGUGCAUUUGAAACUGCUAAGCUAGAGUGCUGUAGAGGAUGGCGGAAUACCCAGUGGAGAGGUGAAAUUCGUAGAUAUUGGGUGGAACACCGGUGGCGAAGGCGGC